GGAUUCCCCUAGUAACUGCGAGUGAAGCGGGAAAAGCUCAAAUUUAAAAUCUGGCAGUUUUUUUUGGCUGUCCGAGUUGUAAUCUAGAGAAGUGUUAUCCGCGCUGGACCGUGUACAAGUCUCCUGGAAUGGAGCAUCAUAGAGGGUGAGAAUCCCGUCUUUGACAUGGACUGCCAGGGCUUUUGUGAUGCGCUCUCAAAGAGUCGAGUUGUUUGGGAAUGCAGCUCAAAAUGGGUGGUAAAUUCCAUCUAAAGCUAAAUAUUGGCAAGAGACCGAUAGCGAACAAGUACCGUGAGGGAAAGAUGAAAAGAACUUUGGAAAGAGAGUUAAACAGUACGUGAAAUUGCUGAAAGGGAAACGCUUGAAGUCGGUCACGUCGUCCAGGGAUCAACCUUGCUUUUGCUUGGUGCACUUUCYGGCUUGACGGGUCAGCAUCAAUUUUUGACUGUUGGNAAAAAAGUCAAGGGAAUGUGGCAUCCUUGGAUGUGUUUAUAGCCUUUUGGUCUCAUACAAUGGUUGGGAUUGAGGAACUCAGCACGCCGCAANGGCCGGGUUUAAAACCACGUACGUGCUUAGGAUGCUGGCAACAUGGCUUUAAUCGACCCGUCUUGAAACACGGACCAAGGAGUCUAACAUGCCUGCGAGUGUUUGGGUGGAAAACCCAAGCGCGCAAUGAAAGUGAAAGGUUGAGAUCCCUGUCGUGGGGAGCAUCGACGCCCGGACCAGAACUUUUGUGACGGUUCCGCGGUAGAGCAUGUAUGUUGGGACCCGAAAGAUGGUGAACUAUGCCUGAAUAGGGUGAAUCCAGAGGAAACUCUGGUGGAGGCUCGUAGCGAUUCUGACGUGCAAAUCGAUCGUCAAAUUUGGGUAUAGGGGCGAAAGAC
rnacentral:rRNA from 1 species